GAUGAACGCUGACAGAAUGCUUAACACAUGCAAGUCUACUUGAAUUUGGGUUUUUUCACUUAGAUUUGGGUGGCGGACGGGUGAGUAGCGCGUAAAGAACUUGCCUCACAGCUAGGGACAACAUUUGGAAACGAAUGCUAAUACCUGAUAUUAUGAUUAUAAGGCAUCUUAGAAUUAUGAAAGCUAUAUGCGCUGUGAGAGAGCUUUGCGUCCCAUUAGCUAGUUGGAGAGGUAACGGCUCACCAAGGCGAUGAUGGGUAGCCGGCCUGAGAGGGUGAACGGCCACAAGGGGACUGAGACACGGCCCUUACUCCUACGGGAGGCAGCAGUGGGGAAUAUUGGACAAUGGACCAAGAGUCUGAUCCAGCAAUUCUGUGUGCACGAUGACGUUUUUCGGAAUGUAAAGUGCUUUCAGUUGGGAAGAAAAAAAUGACGGCACCAACAGAAGAAGUGACGGCUAAAUACGUG
rnacentral:rRNA from 1 species